rnacentral:rRNA from 1 species
GACGAACGCUGGCGGCGUGCCUAAUACAUGCAAGUCGAGCGGAAACGAUCCUAGCUUGCUAGGAGGCGUCGAGCGGCGGACGGGUGAGUAACGCGUGAGAAUCUACCCAUGAGUGGGGGACAACCCGGGGGAAACUCGGGCUAAUACCGCAUACGCCCUACGGGGUAAAGCAGGGGACCUUCGGGCCUUGCGCUGAUGGAUGAGCUCGCGUCGGAUUAGCUUGUUGGUGAGGUAAAGGCUCACCAAGGCGACGAUCCGUAGCUGGUCUGAGAGGAUGAUCAGCCACACCGGGACUGAGACACGGCCCGGACUCCUACGGGAGGCAGCAGUGGGGAAUCUUGGACAAUGGGGGCAACCCUGAUCCAGCCAUGCCGCGUGUGUGAAGAAGGCCUUCGGGUUGUAAAGCACUUUCAGCAGGGAGGAAGGCUUACCCCUAAUACGGGUGAGUACUUGACGUUACCUGCAGAAGAAGCACCGGCUAAUUUCGUG